UACGUAGGUGGCAAGCGUUGUCCGGAUUUACUGGGCGUAAAGAGCGCGCAGGCGGUCGUUCAAGUCGCGUGUGAAAGCCCCCGGCUCAACUGGGGAGGGUCACGCGAUACUGAUCGACUCGAAGGCAGGAGAGGGUAGUGGAAUUCCCGGUGUGGUGGUGAAAUGCGUAGAUAUCGGGAGGAACACCAGUGGCGAAGGCGACUACCUGGCCUGUUCUUGACGCUGAGGCGCGAAAGCUAGGGGAGCAAACGGG
rnacentral:rRNA from 1 species